UACAGAGGGGGCAAGCGUUGUUCGGAAUUACUGGGCGUAAAGGGCUCGUAGGUGGCCGACUAAGUCGGACGUGAAAUCCCUCGGCUUAACCGGGGAACUGCGUCCGAUACUGGAUGGCUUGAGUUUGGGAGAGGGACGCGGAAUUCCAGGUGUAGCGGUGAAAUGCGUAGAUAUCGGUAGGAACACCAGUGGCGAAGGCGGUCUUCUGGAGCACUCUUGACGCUGAGGCGCGAAAGCUGGGGGGAGCGAACGGGG
rnacentral:rRNA from 1 species